rnacentral:lncRNA from 1 species
AUAUACUAGUUAUUUACUAUGACCAAUAAUAUGUUCAUUUUUCAUAUUCCUUCGUACAUUCUCUCGGAGUUUCUUCCUCAUAUUCUUUCUUAGCACUCACAUCCUCUCUAAGUUUCGUAUUUUUUGUGUCAAUAUUCAUCGUCUUUGUCUCCUCCUUCUGUCACGCUUGUCUUUGUCUCUUCCCUUAGCCACGAUUGUGGCUAUCGCACCCAACAUUCUUGAGCUUCAAUUACUCCUCCCAACACUCUUUACCCUCAUCCCUCCCUUUGUUGCAGACCCCUUCAUCACCUCCCUUCGUUGUCGUGAUGAUAUUCGUAUUUUCUAGAGUUAUAGAUGUCGUGGUUUUUGGAAUCGUCGUCGCUCUUCACGCUCUUGCUAUCAUUGUUCAGUUUAGUGGUCGUUCUCACCUCUCUCAUUAGGUAAGUUCUCAUUUUAGG